UGGAUGGCAGCAGCUCCCCAGGGAAUAUUCCCUCUUGGUGGAAGAUUCUGGAAUUCUCCUCUUGGAUCCAGCAGAGCUGCAGCCUCUUGCUCAACACGGGCGAAUGGGAGUUUUGGGGAAUGGGCAAGGAAUUCCAUGGAUUUAACAGAUUUAAAUGUCUUCCCUGGCCCUGGGAAGGGUGGAAGGGCUCCGGAUCUGCUGGAUGUGGUUGCCCAGAGAAGCUGUGGCUGCCAAAUCCAUGGAAUUGUCCAAGGCUGGGUUGGACAUUGGGGCUUGGAGCAGCCUGGGACAGUGGGAAGUGUCCCUGAACAUGGAUGGGGUGAGAUGGGAUGGGACCAAACCAAAGGAUUCCAGGAUUCUGGAGCCCCUCUGCUCUGGGAGAGCUGGGAUUGUUCCCUGGAGAAGGGAAAAAUCCCAGGGAAUGCUCAGAGUCCCUGCAGGGGCUCCAGGAGAGCUGGAAUUGGGGACAAGGCCUGGAGGGACAGGACACAGGGAAUGGCUCCACUGGGAGAUGGAAUUUAAGGUCACUUCCAGCCCAUUCCAUGAUGGGGGGGGGGGGGGGGGGGGGGGGGGGGGGGGGGGGGGGGGGGGGGGGGGGGGGGGGGGGGGGGGGGGGGGGGGGGGGGGUGUGGUUGGAUCCAUCUGGAAUGGUGGGAGGUGUCCCUGCCCAUGGAUGGGGUGGGAUGGGAUGGGAUUUAAGGUCGUUUCCCAUGCAAAUCAUUCCAGGAUUCUGGAGCCAGGCUGGGAGAGCUGGGAAUGUUCCCCUGGAGAAGGGAAAAUCCCAGGGGAUGCUCAGAGUCCCUGCAGGGGCUCCAGGAGAGCUGGAAUUGGGGACAAGGCCUGGAGGGACAGGACACAGGGAAUGGCUCCACUGGGAAAGGGGAGACUGGGCUGGGAUCUUGGGAAGGAAUUCCUGCCUGGGCUGGGAUUCCCAGAUUGGCUGUGGCUGCCCCUGGAUCCCUGGCAGUGCCCAAGGCCAGGUUGGACAUUGGGGUUUGGAUCCACCUGGGACAGUGGGAGGUGUCACUAUUUUAAUUCCCUUCUUUCCAAGGGUGGAACCCUUUCCCAACCCCACCAGAAGAACUUUUCUCCCUUUUGUCACCUCAGGAAAAUCCCUCGUCCCCAAGCCAGACUCGGAACAGCUUCAAAGGAGCCCUGGAGAGAGCGAGGCCACAAAUUCCUCUGGAAUGACAAGACCAAUGGAGCAUCCCCAAGCCCUGAAGUCCAGACAGAUUUGAUGGAUUCCAUCCGUGGGAUUGUGCUUCCAAGUCUUUUCCUCCACAACAGAGUGGCCCGAUCCCAACCGGAGCCGGAUUGAGCCGGCUGGGAUUGCUACACCCAAAAUUACUUCAGGGAGUGCACGAACAAUUCGGGAGCUUGGCUGGGGGUGCCACCAAUUCCAGUGGCACUUAAAAUUCGGGCCAUUUGGCUUUGGUGUUUGUAGCCGGAGGAGGACUUGGGAAAGAACCUGGGUUUGGAAUGUUCUGGUGGCUUUUCCCGCUGCCCAGGCUGGCAGGAAUCAUUCCCAAAAUAUGGAUGUCAGCUUGGUCCUGACCUCUCCUGCAUGAUGGGGAAAUAAUUUCAUGUUUUCUGAGGAAAAAGCUCUGUGAAUAGGCAGCAAAAAAUCUCUGAGGAUAUGACAAAAAAAAAAAAAAAAAAAAAAAAAGGGGGGGGGGGGGGGGGGAAAAAAAAAAAAAAAAAAAAGAGGGAUGUUUCCUUUGGGGUCCUGCCACCGCCCAGCACUUCAUGAAAGCUCUGAGAUGGGACUGGGAUGGCACAGGGAUAACAAAUCUAGAAAGGACUCGUGUGAAAACCCACACAGCGUGGAAAAGUGGGAAUAAGGGGCUUGAGGGCUUUUCCAGACUGACUGUGGAUUCCUCAUCCCUGGAAGUGUCCAAGGCUGGGUUGGACACUGGGGCUUGGAGAAACCUGGGACAGUGGGAGGUGUCCCUGCCCAUGGAUGGGGUGGGAUGGGAUGGGAUUUAAGGUCGUUUCCCAUGCAAAUCAUUCCAGGAUUCUGGAGCCAGGCUGGGAGAGCUGGGAAUGUUCCCCUGGAGAAGGGAAAAUUCCAGGGAAUGCUCAGAGUCCCUGCAGGGGCUCCAGGAGAGCUGGAAUUGGGGACAAGGCCUGGAGGGACAGGACACAGGGAAUGGCUCCCACUGGGAAAGGGGAGAUUGGGCUGGGAUCAGGGGGGGGGGGGGGGGGGGGGGGGGGGGGGGGGGGGGGGGGGGGGGGGGGGGGGGGGGGGG
rnacentral:lncRNA from 12 species